AGCGAACGCUGGCGGCAGGCCUAACACAUGCGAGUCGAACGAACUCUUCGGAGUUAGUGGCGGACGGGUGAGUAACACGUGGGAACGUGCCUUUAGGUUCGGAAUAACUCAGGGAAACUUGUGCUAAUACCGAAUGUGCCCUUCGGGGGAAAGAUUUAUCGCCUUUAGAGCGGCCCGCGUCUGAUUAGCUAGUUGGUGAGGUAAAGGCUCACCAAGGCGACGAUCAGUAGCUGGUCUGAGAGGAUGAUCAGCCACAUUGGGACUGAGACACGGCCCAAACGCCUACGGGCGGCAGCAGUGGGGAAUCUUGCGCAAUGGGCGAAAGCCUGACGCAGCCAUGCGGCGUGAAUGAUGAAGGUCUUAGGAUUGUAAAAUUCUUUCACCGGGGACGAUAAUGACGGUACCCGGAGAAGAAGCCCCGGCUAACUUCGUGCCAGCCGCCGCCGUAA
rnacentral:rRNA from 1 species